GGAGGAAGGUGGGGAUGACGUCAAGUCCUCAUGGCCCUUACGGGCUGGGCUACACACGUGCUACAAUGGCGGUGACAGUGGGCAGCGACCUCGCGAGAGGAAGCUAAUCUCCAAAAGCCGUCUCAGUUCGGAUUGUUCUCUGCAACUCGAGAGCAUGAAGUUGGAAUCGCUAGUAAUCGCGUAACAGCAUGACGCGGUGAAUACGUUCCCGGGCCUUGUACACACCGCCCGU
rnacentral:rRNA from 1 species